rnacentral:rRNA from 1 species
UAAGGGAUAUUGCACAAUGGACGGAAGUCUGAUGCAGCGACGCCGCGUGGGUGAAGAAGGUUUUCGGAUCGUAAAGCCCUUUUCUAUGUGACGAGGAAGGACGGUAGCAUAGGAAUAAGUGUCGGCUAACUACGUGCCAGCAGCCGCGGUAAAACGUAGGACACGAACGUUAUCCGGAGUUACUGGGCGUAAAGCGCGCGUAGGCGGUUGGUCAAGUUACCUAUGAAAGAUACAGGCUAAACUUGUAUUGGUUGGGUGAAACUGGUCGACUAGAGGGAAAUAGAGGGAAGUAGAAUUCCGGGUGUAGUGGUGAAAUGCGUAGAUAUCCGGAGGAAUACCGGUGGCGAAGGCGGCUUCCUGGAUUUCCACUGACGCUGAAGCGCGAAAGCGUGGGUAGCGAACGGGAUUAGAUACCCCCGUAGUCC